rnacentral:rRNA from 1 species
CCUUUCCUGCGGAAUAGCUCCGGGAAACUGGAAUUAAUACCGCAUACGCCCUACGGGGGAAAGAUUUAUCGGGGAAGGAUUGGCCCGCGUUGGAUUAGCUAGUUGGUGGGGUAAAGGCCUACCAAGGCGACGAUCCAUAGCUGGUCUGAGAGGAUGAUCAGCCACAUUGGGACUGAGACACGGCCCAAACUCCUACGGGAGGCAGCAGUGGGGAAUAUUGGACAAUGGGCGCAAGCCUGAUCCAGCCAUGCCGCGUGAGUGAUGAAGGCCUUAGGGUUGUAAAGCUCUUUCACCGGAGAAGAUAAUGACGGUAUCCGGAGAAGAAGCCCCGGCUAACUUCGUGCCAGCAGCCGCGGUAAUACGAAGGGGGCUAGCGUUGUUCGGAAUUACUGGGCGUAAAGCGCACGUAGGCGGAUAUUUAAGUCAGGGGUGAAAUCCCAGAGCUCAACUCUGGAACUGCCUUUGAUACUGGGUAUCUUGAGUAUGGAAGAGGUAAGUGGAAUUCCGAGUGUAGAGGUGAAAUUCGUAGAUACUCGGAGGAACACCAGUGGCGAAGGCGGCUUACUGGUCCAUUACUGACGCUGAGGUGCGAAAGCGUG